rnacentral:lncRNA from 1 species
CACUUGCUGUCCGAGCAAACAGUCCUUCACUAUCAGGAGAAGGUAAAUAUAUCCCUCAUCCAGAUCCAUCACCUUUCUUGUUUCUAGUUUUCCUGCUUCAUAACAUGCUUAAUUCCUUUAAGUUCCAACAGGUACACGAGAAAGUGCUUGGCCAUUGGCAGGGACUCUACGCCAUCAAAUGCACCAGUGGACCGUUUAUUCUAUCACUAUGCUGUUUCCCAUUUGGCAGAGAAGUAUAAGAUCAGGGCUGGCCUGGCUUCCAGGAUUCCAUUGCGCAUCAAACUAUAUGUGGGAGUCCACCAUAGCAUUGAUAGUUAUAAA